UGAACUUGGUUGUGUUAUUUGCUCUUUUGACAUGAGAAGGCUUUUUCCAAGGGCUUUUGAAGGUCUCUAGUGGUUUGCCAUCUCCUUACAGGUACUUUGUAUAUUUGUCUUCAAGGAUGACUUAUCUUCUGGAGCACUGAAGGAAUUGAGUUCUGCCGAAGAAAUUAUUUAUGAAGAUUUUCCAAGUUGCUCAGAGCUUCAGAUGGAGGAGGUAGUUGAAUAUGACUUCUUUAAUGAAACAGGCUGAGAUGUCAUGAAUGAGUUAAAAGGUCACAGGAAGGAGAUGUUGGACCAAGAACCUUGUGCUUAAAGAAUGAUCAUAAAAAGAGGGAGAAGAUCAACAGGAAGAUUUUAUUUUAAUACAACAAUCCAUAAAGAAAUUAAAUCACUUGUGAGAAAGAAACCUUUGAUUUUAAAGUUAAAAUUCCAACAGAAAGUUUAAGGUUUGAAAUAAUAGAUUUUUAUAUUAAAGCUAACCUCAGAACUGAUUGAAAACUAGGGCACAUAAGGCUUCUUAGACCUCUUUCUGCCAUCUAUCUUCACUUCAACAGGUAUGUGAAACAUGAAUUCUUUAGAUAUAUAAACUCUCAUGUCUAAGCAAAACACUGGUAGAGGACUCUCUAGGAGUACUCCAGCUGCCAAAUCCAAUGCUUUCCAUAAUCAGGCAUCAGUCUGGAGUACAGCAUGAUGUACAGCUGUAGUGAUCCUGGUGGGUGAGCUUCUUAUGGCCACUGAGAGAGGGAAGAUGUGUAUGUUACUGUUACUUGAUCCAUCAACAGCCUUCAACACCACCAGUCCCUUGGGUGCAGCUGAUUCACUUACAGGACCUGGCAGGCCUGGAUGUGCAGCUCUGUGUGGGCUCUGCAUGUUCCUCUUGGACAGAUAACAGAAGACCCUCCCUCAUGGGAUACGUAGCUUUCAAUCCCAUCUUCUGCCUUUGCAAACAUAUUUGUGGGAUCUAUCAUCAAGAGCACUCGCACAGUUGCCUGUCUACUUUUGCAGAGGCAGUCAAUGUUAUUGCCCAGAUGUCCCAGUGCUGGUGAGAAAAAAGUACAUGGAUGAAAAGAAGCUGGAUCCAAUUAUUUGUGGAUAAGACACGGUGAGUUUCACAGGGAAAGGGAAUACUUCAAGGAUCUCACCUUUUGUUGAAGGUUUACCCUACUGAUAAUCAGCAUGAUUCACAGAUCCAAA